CGGACGGGUGAGUAAUGUAUAGUUAAUCUGCCUUUUAGAGAGGAAUACCUACUGGAAACGGUAGCUACUACCUCAUACUCCUUUUACUUAAUGGUAAUUGGGAAACGUUUUUUUCGCUAACGGAUGAGACUAUAUGGUCUCAGGUAGUUGGUGGGGUAAAGAGCCUACCAACAGCACUGACGCUCUAGGUGGUCGGAGAGGAUGUUCAGCCACACUGGACACUGCGACACGGUCCAGACUCCUACGGGAGGCAGCAGUGGGGAAUAUCGCACAAUGGAGGAAACUCUGAUGCAGCAACGCCGCGUGGAGGAUGACACAUAUCGGUGCGUAAACUCCUUUUAUAUGGGAAGAUAAUGACGGUACCAUAUGAAUAAGCCCCGGCUAACUCCGGGCCAGCAGCCGCGGUAAUGCGGAGGGGGCAAGCGUUAUUCGGAAUCACUGGGCGUUAAGCGCGCGCAGGCGGCUAUUUAAGUUGGAUGUGAAAUCCUUCGGCUCAACCGUAGAACUGCAUCCAAACCUAUUUAGCUUGAGUGUGGGAGAGGAAGAUGGAAUUAGUUGUGUAGGGGUAAAAUCCGUAGAGAUAACUAGGAAUACCAAAAGCGAAGGCACUCUUUUGGAACAUUACGGCCGCUGAGGCGCGAAAGCGUGGGGAGCAAACAGGUUCCGAUACC
rnacentral:rRNA from 1 species